UACGGAGGGUGCGAGCGUUGUCCGGAAUCACUGGGCGUAAAGGGCGCGUAGGCGGCUCAUGAAGGCUGUGGUGAAAGUCCGGGGCUCAACCUCGGAUCGGCCGUGGCGACUCGUGGGCUGGAGCACUGUAGAGGCGGGUGGAAUUCCGGGUGUAGCGGUGGAAUGCGUAGAGAUCCGGAAGAACACCGGUGGCGAAGGCGGUCUGCUGGGCAGUUGCUGGACACUGAGGCGCGACAGCGUGGGGAGCAAACAGG
rnacentral:rRNA from 1 species